rnacentral:rRNA from 1 species
CGCACGGUGGAUGCCUUGGCACUAGGAGCCGAAGAAGGACGGGACUAACACCGAUAUGCUUUGGGGAGCUGUACGUAAGCGUUGAUCCAGAGAUUUCCGAAUGGGGGAACCCACUAUCUUUAGUCGGAUAGUAUCCUUACGUGAAUACAUAGCGUGAGGAAGGCAGACCCAGGGAACUGAAACAUCUAAGUACCUGGAGGAAGAGAAAGAAAAAUCGAUUUCCUGAGUAGCGGCGAGCGAAACGGAAAGAGCCCAAACCAAGAAGCUUGCUUCUUGGGGUUGUAGGACACUCUAUACGGAGUUACAAAAGAAAGUUAUAAAUGAAGCGGUCUGGAAAGGCCCGCCAAAGACGGUAACAGCCCGGUAGUUGAAAUGGCUUUCCCUCCAGAGUGGAUCCUGAGUACGGCGGAACACGUGAAAUUCCGUCGGAAUCCGGGAGGACCAUCUCCCAAGGCUAAAUACUCCCUAGUGACCGAUAGUGAACCAGUACCGUGAGGGAAAGGUGAAAAGCACCCCGGAAGGGGAGUGAAACAGUUCCUGAAACCGUGUGCCUACAAGUAGUUAGAGCCCGUUAAUGGGUGAUAGCGUGCCUUUUGUAGAAUGAACCGGCGAGUUACGAUUUGUUGCAAGGUUAAGCGGAAAAAGCGGAGCCGUAGCGAAAGCGAGUCUGAAUAGGGCGCAUAAGUAACAGGUCGUAGACCCGAAACCAGGUGAUCUACCCAUGUCCAGGAUGAAGGUAAGGUAAUACUUACUGGAGGUCCGAACCCACGCACGUUGAAAAGUGCGGGGAUGAGGUGUGGGUAGCGGAGAAAUUCCAAUCGAACUUGGAGAUAGCUGGUUCUCUCCGAAAUAGCUUUAGGGCUAGCCUCGAGGUAAAGAGUCAUGGAGGUAGAGCACUGUUUGGACUAGGGGCCCUUCUCGGGUUACCGAAUUCAGAUAAACUCCGAAUGCCAUGUACUUAUACUCGGGAGUCAGACUGCGAGUGAUAAGAUCCGUAGUCGAAAGGGAAACAGCCCAGACCACCAGUUAAGGUCCCCAAAUAUAUGUUAAGUGGAAAAGGAUGUGGGGUUGCUUAGACAACCAGGAUGUUGGCUUAGAAGCAGCCACCAUUGAAAGAGUGCGUAAUAGCUCACUGGUCGAGUGACCCCGCGCCGAAAAUGUACCGGGGCUAAACAUAUUACCGAAACUGUGGAUGAACCUCUUUAGAGGUUCGUGGUAGGAGAGCGUUCUAAGGGCGGUGAAGUCAGACCGGAAGGACUGGUGGAGCGCUUAGAAGUGAGAAUGCCGGUAUGAGUAGCGAAAGAAGGGUGAGAAUCCCUUCCACCGAAUAUCUAAGGUUUCCUGAGGAAGGCUCGUCCGCUCAGGGUUAGUCGGGACCUAAGCCGAGGCCGAUAGGCGUAGGCGAUGGACAACAGGUAGAGAUUCCUGUACCAGUGCUAAUUGUUUAACCGAUGGGGUGACACAGAAGGAUAGGGAAUCGCACGAAUGGAAAUGUGCGUCCAAGCAGUGAGUGUGAGAAGUAGGCAAAUCCGCUUCUCGCGAAGCAUGAGCUGUGAUGGGGAAGGAAAUUAAGUACGGAAGUUCCUGAUUUCACGCUGUCAAGAAAAGCCUCUAGGAAGAGUAGUACUGCCCGUACCGCAAACCGACACAGGUAGAUGAGGAGAGAAUCCUAAGGUGAGCGAGAGAACUCUCGUUAAGGAACUCGGCAAAAUGACCCCGUAACUUCGGGAGAAGGGGUGCUCUAUUAGGGUGCAAGCCCGAGAGAGCCGCAGUGAAUAGGCCCAGGCGACUGUUUAGCAAAAACACAGGUCUCUGCAAAACCGUAAGGUGACGUAUAGGGGCUGACGCCUGCCCGGUGCUGGAAGGUUAAGAGGAGUGCUUAGCUUCGGCGAAGGUACGAAUUGAAGCCCCAGUAAACGGCGGCCGUAACUAUAACGGUCCUAAGGUAGCGAAAUUCCUUGUCGGGUAAGUUCCGACCCGCACGAAAGGCGCAACGAUCUGGGCACUGUCUCAACGAGAGACUCGGUGAAAUUAUAGUACCUGUGAAGAUGCAGGUUACCCGCGACAGGACGGAAAGACCCCGUGGAGCUUUACUGCAACCUGAUAUGGAAUGUUUGUACCGCUUGUACAGGAUAGGUAGGAGCCGAAGAGACGUGUGCGCUAGCAUACGAGGAGGCAAUGGUGGGAUACUACCCUGGCUGUAUGACCAUUCUAACCCGCCACGCUUAGCGCGUGGGGAGACAGUGUCAGGUGGGCAGUUUGACUGGGGCGGUCGCCUCCUAAAGAGUAACGGAGGCGCCCAAAGGUUCCCUCAGAAUGGAUGGAAAUCAUUCGCAGAGUGUAAAGGCACAAGGGAGCUUGACUGCGAGACUGACAAGUCGAGCAGGGACGAAAGUCGGGCUUAGUGAUCCGGUGGUUCCGCAUGGAAGGGCCAUCGCUCAACGGAUAAAAGCUACCCCGGGGAUAACAGGCUUAUCUCCCCCAAGAGUCCACAUCGACGGGGAGGUUUGGCACCUCGAUGUCGGCUCGUCGCAUCCUGGGGCUGUAGUCGGUCCCAAGGGUUGGGCUGUUCGCCCAUUAAAGCGGCACGCGAGCUGGGUUCAGAACGUCGUGAGACAGUUCGGUCCCUAUCCGUCGCG